ACACCUCUUGUGCAAUUCUUAACACCUCCAUAUACUCCAUCCACCAUCUAAAGCUGGUAUGACACAAGAUCCAAUAGUGUUGAAAAGUAAAAAGCAAUAUGAUUAUUGUAAUCAAGACUUCUCCAGUUCAUUUAAAGGAAUGUUACUGUGAUACAGGGUUUUCCAUCAUUAAGAGCUGGGCACGACAAAAGAACCAAUAAUAGUGAAAUUAGCAUUUUGGUAAUUUCGACCUUUCCAGUCUUGUUUAUGUCAGUUGAAAUCAUUUGAAAAACAAAAAUUUAUAAUGUGUUCCAAAGAAAACUUGUCCUGAGAUCUGAAAAUUGCUGUUCAAAUAAAAACAAUGUGAACAUUUAACAUUUUUGAUUUUCAAACAAUAACUCAUUUCUUGUCAUUGCACAUUCUUUGUUGGCACUGCAGUAUAUUUUAAAAAAAAGAAAAAAAGAAAGAAAAAAGAAUGGACAAAAAAUAAAUAUGUUACCUCCGGAAAGUUUGUGUGGUGUAAACAAUUGGGUUAGUCUGAAUUUUUAAUGAAUUAAUAAUUAGAUUUGUUAUCUUCAAAGAAAAAAAGAAAGUAUCCAAAACUUUUAAUCUUUUGCAAAACAGAAAUUUAUAAUGUCUUCCAAAGAUAACUUGUCCUGAGUGUGUUCCAAAGAAAACUUGUCCUGAGAUCUGAAAAUUGCUGUUCAAAUAAAAAACAAUGCGUGAAACUUUAACAUUUUUGAUGUUUCAAACAAUAACUCAAUUCUUUUCAUUGCACAUUCUUUGUUGGCGCGUUUGUGUGGUGUAAAGAUUUGAGUUAUUCUGAAUUUUUAAUGAAUUAAUAAUUUGAUUUGCCAUCUUCAAAGAAAAAAAGUAGAUAUAUUCAAAACUUAAUCUUUUAUCUUCAAUUUUUAAAUCAUAAUCCAUUGUACAGCAUUUUGGACCAUUAAGAGCUGGACAAGACAACCAAAGCGGGUUAUGGUGCUGAAAGUACCAUUAUUGUAAACUGGACUUCUACAAUCCAUUUGAGGGUGUAGUACUAUCUGCUACUAUUUCCUCCCUAAGGGCGUUGUAACGGACAUAAAUUAAGGCUUAGAAAUAAGAAUGUCACAACAACAGUGAUGUUGUCUACACAUAGAGGUAGCGGGAAAGUAUAGGUCCUAUUUGUAGGGACAGACAGUGCCACUCUGCACGUUAAAGAACCCUUGUCACAACUCUUUUGAGGUGUCAGUAGGAUGUGGCUUGUUGCAUUAGGCUAAAUUUCUGUCCAAAAAUAUCCUCCUCGGUUGGCAGUCAAAAUUUCCCCUCCCUUCACCAUAGGAUUGGACCACUUUAUAGAACCUACAAAUUGAUUUGUUGUGAUAUCAAGAGAUGUGAGACAACUAUACUACAGAGACCAAUUGAUGUUAAUGUAAAAUAGGUUACUGUAUGGGCUCCAACAAUGAGAAAAUCCACUAACAUUAAAAUUGUGCAAUAUUCUGAUUUAGAAUGACUUGUUUAUACCUCCAAACUUUAACAUCUGAUAUUUUUAUUAUCUAGAGCUCUGUAAAAAAAAAAAGAAAAAAAUAUAUAAAAAAGAAAAUACCAAAAAAUAAUAUGAAAGCAAAAUAGAAAACAGAGUUCUAGAUAAUAAACAUUGAGGGUGGGAUUAUUUUGAUAUUUUUAUGACCCCCGCCUUUAAGUCUUCUAAAGUUAUCAUAUUUAAAACAAAACAAAAAUUGGAAUGGCAGUUUAAAAAGUAUAGGUCCUUUCUGUAGGGACAGUGCAACUCUGCAUGUUAAAGAACCCUUGCCACAAAUCUUUUGAGGUGUCAGUAGGAUGUGGCUUGUUGCAAGGCUAACUUUCUGUCCAACAUUAUCCUCCUCUCGGCUGGCAGUCAAAAUUUCCCCUACCUUCAUCAUUGGCCCACCUUUGAGAACCUACAAAUUGUUUUGUUGUGAUAUCAAGAGAUGUGAGACAACUAUCCUACAGAGACCAAAUGAUGUUAAUGUAAAAUAGGUUACUGUAUGGGCUUCAACAAUGAGAAAAUCCACUAACAUUACAAUUUUGCAAUAUUUUGAUUGAGAAUGACUUGUUUAUACCUCCAAACUUUAACACCUGAUAUUUUUAUUAUCUUAAGAGCUCGUGAAUUAAUAAUUUGAUUUGCCAUCUUCAGAGAAAAAAAGAAGAUAUUCAAAACUUGAUCUUUUAUCUUCAAUUUUUAAAACAUAACCCAUUGUACAGCAUUUUGGACCAUUAAGAGCUGGGCAAGACAACCAAACCGUGCAAUGGUGCUGAAAGUAUCAUUAUUGUAAUCUUGACUUCUACAGUCCAUUUAAAUUUGAGGGUGUAGUAAUAUCUGCCACGUUUUGCUCCCUAAGGGCGCUGUAACGGACAUACAUUAAGGCUUAGAAAUAAGAACCUCACAACAACAGUGACGUUGUCUACAUAUAGAGAGGUAGCAGGAACACCUCCAUAUACUCCAUCCACCAUCUAAAGAUGGUAUGACACAAGAUCCAAUAGUGUUGAAAAGUAAAAAGCAAUAUGAUUAUUGUAAUCAAGACUUCUCCAGUCCAUUUAAUGGAAUGUUACUGUGAUUAUUAAGAGCUGGGCACGACAAAAGAACCA
rnacentral:lncRNA from 1 species